AACGAACGCUGGCGGCAGGCCUAACACAUGCAAGUCGAACGCUCGUAGCAAUACGGGAGUGGCAGACGGGUGAGUAACACGUGGGAACCUUCCCUAUGGUUCGGAAUAGCUCAGGGAAACUUGGGGUAAUACCGGAUAAGCCCUUCGGGGGAAAGAUUUAUCGCCAUUGGAUGGGCCCGCGUCGGAUUAGCUAGUUGGUGGGGUAACGGCCUACCAAGGCGACGAUCCGUAGCUGGUCUGAGAGGAUGAUCAGCCACACUGGGACUGAGACACGGCCCAGACUCCUACGGGAGGCAGCAGUGGGGAAUAUUGGACAAUGGGCGCAAGCCUGAUCCAGCCAUGCCGCGUGAGUGACGAAGGUCUUCGGAUUGUAAAGCUCUUUUGGCGGGGACGAUAAUGACGGUACCCGCAGAAUAAGCCCCGGCUAACUUCGUGCCAGCCGCCGCGGUAA
rnacentral:rRNA from 1 species